rnacentral:rRNA from 1 species
UACGGGGGGGGCAAGCGUUGUUCGGAAUUACUGGGCGUAAAGGGCUCGUAGGCGGCCAACUAAGUCGGAUGUGAAAUCCCCAGGCUCAACUUGGGAACUGCAUCCGAUACUGGAUGGCUUGAAUUCGGGAGAGGGAUGCAGAAUUCCAGGUGUAGCGGUGAAAUGCGUAGAUAUCUGGAGGAACACCGGUGGCGAAGGCGCCACUCUGGGCCGAAACUGACGCUGAGGAGCGAAAGCGUGGGUAGCAAACAGG